UACGUAGGGGGCGAGCGUUGUCCGGAAUUAUUGGGCGUAAAGAGCGUGUAGGCUGUUCGGUAAGUCUGCCGUGAAAACCUGAGGCUCAACCUCGGGCGUGCGGUGGAUACUGCAGGGCUAGAGUCCGGAAGAGGCGAGUGGAAUUCCUGGUGUAGCGGUGAAAUGCGCAGAUAUCAGGAAGAACACCCGUGGCGAAGGCGGCUCUCUGGGACGGUACUGACGCUGAGACGCGAAAGCGUGGGGAGCGAACAG
rnacentral:rRNA from 1 species